rnacentral:rRNA from 1 species
UACGUAGGGGGCAAGCGUUGUCCGGAUUUAUUGGGCGUAAAGCGCGUGUAGGCGGUUUGGUAGGUCCGCUGUGAAAACUCGAGGCUCAACCUCGAGACGCCGGUGGAAACCAUCAGACUAGAGUCCGGAAGAGGAGAGUGGAAUUCCUGGUGUAGCGGUGAAAUGCGCAGAUAUCAGGAAGAACACCCGUGGCUGAGGCGGCUCUCUAGGACGGGACUGACGCUGAGACGCGAAAGCGUGGGGAGCGAACAGG